CGUCUGCGCUCGGAGAAAGUUGUAUGACAAUAUUUUCGGACAGGGGUUCGACUCCCCUCAUCUCCACCA
rnacentral:tmRNA from 1 species